GUUAGUGUUGUUUAUUUUCUUCCAGUUAUAAAUCGAUCAGUUUCUUGGAGCAUCAUGUCAGAAAAGCUGAAAUCGAUAAAAUUCGUGAACGCAAAAGAUGAAGAAGUGCAGUUUGUAUAUCGUUGUGUGGACGAUAAGCUUGUAAAAAUGGAUUUCAUAUGUUGCUUUGAAUCUGAUGUUAUCCUUGAUUAUCUAUCAGAUGGAUUUACAGGCGAGGUAUAUACCGAGAUACCAAGUGUAAUCUUGGAGAAGGUUAAUACUUUCUGUGUUUCACGUCGGAAGACCAUCAACAAUUUUGAUGAUGAUGAUCCUAUACUCGUCGCAAAAACGUUGCAUGAUUUCGAUCGCCAGUUUGCAUCAAAUCAGUCUCCCUACCACCUUGCUCAGCUUAUGCGUGUAGCAAAAAAAUGUUUCUAGGACCAAAAGUCAAGGAGGAUUGGGAUUGAAAAGUUUGUAAUGAGGCUUUAUUAACAAAGCAUAUUUGGAAUAUUGCAAACAGAAAGGAAACGUUAUGGGUUGAGUGGGUAAACAUUGUUAAGUAGAGAGGAAGAAACUUUUGGGAGAUCGAUUUUGAUUAUAAUAAUAAUUGGAUGGGGAAGAGCAAAUUAAACAACAAUUACAUGAAGGUCUUGAAUGCGGAGACAUCAUCACAACCUGGGAAAAAAAAUGUUGUUGUGUACAAAAAGUUCACUUGGAUACCAAAAAGCUCCAAGGGUUCCUAGCGCGCCUGAGGCAUGCUUUUUAAAACCAAGCUUGUGUCUGUAGUUUUUCUUGCACAGCCAUCCAUAAGAUAAACAUAUGACUUGGUAUUCCUCCGGAAAACCAUACAAUUUUGCUCCACUGAACUUCAGAAUUACCAUCUUUGAAGUCAUCCCAAACUCUCUUGACAGCACACUCACCUUCAUUACCAUUAUUUCGUUUCCAGAUUACUCUAUCACUUCUGUCCAAGUUUGCAGCAAUAGGAAUUUCACCAAUAUGGAUAUUGAGCUAUACAAUCUGAUAUUCUGAUGGUCAAUUUUCCAUCACCCUUUGACAAUCACUAAAAAAUUUGUAUAAAGGCCCGCUACGAUGCCACCAGUCAUACCAAAUUGAUGUACUAAUCCCAUUUCCUACUGGAUGUCUUAUAUGAGGCCCAACUUUAUCUCUUUAACUCAUUGCUUCAUAAUUGCUUUUUCCUAUUUUCAUUUCUGGCUGCUAUUGAUCUGAGGAUCAAAACCCUCUUGGACGCCACACUUAAGGUAAUUUUUAAAAAGAUUGAGGGGAUGUCUGCUGAUAAGAUUCUCAAGAUCUGCAACGUUCCUGGUUUUUGUCAUAAAGAUUUUCAACGGUGGCACGCUCUUCAUACUUGGGCUUACAGUUAAUGACCUAAUAAGUGUGGUAGUGUACAUUGUGGAUGUCUCCUGCUUUCAUAUGACUUAUUAAUCUAAAAUAGAACAAAUGGGUGUUUGACUAAUUGUGUUAUUUUUAAGUUUUUUUCAUUUUGGAUAAUGUGGUGUUAUUAUUAAGUAUGACUAGUUUUUUUUAUUUUAAGUUUGAAACUGGUACAAUAUUCGUGUGUUGUCUGUUUUUUUUUUUUUUUCUUUCUAAUAUGACAUUUGUAUCCAAGAUUCAAUAACCAUCCUUUAUAUAAAUCAUCUGGAGCUGCCAGUUGGUCCAUUAUUAAAGCUUAUGAGGCACUUCAGAAGGAAGAAAAAGAUCAUUCACAAGGAGCUGCGGACUUUACCCUUACCGGUUUACAUUAUUGACAAACCAGCAAGAAAACUGUUCGAGAAAUGAAAAGGAAGCAAGUCACGAUACUGAUGAUGAUUCAUACAAGAAAAAGGCCAAUUUGAAAAAUCUUGGGGAUGGUUCUCAUGUUAAUAUGCUAUACAUGCACAAAAAUCCAAUAAGCUUGGGAGAGGUGCUUUGUUAAUUCGCAGGAAUGGAAAUUUUUUUAAAACGAUGGGUUUGUUACUGGUCCAGGGAAACGAACCCUGCUUUAGUGGUACCAACUGCUUUCCCUAUGUUUACUGUAUUUAAUGUGCAGACUUACAUGUGUGGUGGAUCAAAUGGUCACGGAUCAAGGUGGUAGGUUCUGGUAUCGGCGUGAGUUGAUUAGAUACCGAAAUGCUUUAGGUUUGACUGUCUAAAUUUUGAUGUGUUUAAUAUGACUACAGAACUUAUAUCAUACAACAGGAGUUAUGUGUCAAACUUACGCUUUGGGUGA